rnacentral:rRNA from 1 species
AUUGAACGCUGGCGGCAUGCUUUACACAUGCAAGUCGAACGGUAACAGGCCUUCGGGUGCUGACGAGUGGCGAACGGGUGAGUAAUGCAUCGGAACGUGCCCAGAGGUGGGGGAUAACGCAGCGAAAGCUGUGCUAAUACCGCAUGUGAUCUGAGGAUGAAAGCGGGGGACCAGGCAGCAAUGUUUGGCCUCGCGCCUUUGGAGCGGCCGAUGUCAGAUUAGGUAGUUGGUGGGGUAAAGGCCUACCAAGCCGACGAUCUGUAGCUGGUCUGAGAGGACGACCAGCCACACGGGGACGGAGACACGGCCCAGACUCCUACGGGAGGCAGCAGGGGGGAAUUUUGGACAAUGGGCGCAAGCCUGAUCCAGCAAUGCCGCGUGCGGGAAGAAGGCCUUCGGGUUGUAAACCGCUUUUGUACGGAACGAAAAGGCUCUGGCUAAUACCUGGGGCUGAUGACGGUACCGUAAGAAUAAGCACCGGCUAACUAC